rnacentral:rRNA from 1 species
CCUACGGGAGGCUGCAGUGGGGGAUAUUGCACAAUGGGGGGAACCCUGAUGCAGCGACGCCGCGUGGGUGAAGGAGCGUUUCGGCGCGUAAAGCCCUAUCGGCAGGGAAGAAGAAGGACGGUACCGGACGAAGAAGCCCCGGCUAACUACGUGCCAGCAGCCGCGGUAAGACGUAGGGGGCAAGCGUUAUCCGGAUUUACUGGGUGGAAAGGGGGCGCAGACGGCAGCGCAAGCCAGGAGGGAAAGCCCGGGGCCCAACCCCGGGACUGCUCUUGGAACUGCGCGGCUGGAGUGCAGGAGGGGCAGGCGGAAUUCCUGGUGUAGCUGUGACAUGCGUCGAUAUCAGGAGGAACCCCGGUGGCGAAGGCGGCCUGCUGGACUGCGCCUGCCGUUGAGGCCCGAAAGCGUGGGGAGCAAACAGGAUUAGCUACCCUUGUAGUC